GGGGGGGGCAAGCGUUGUUCGGAAUUACUGGGCGUAAAGGGCGCGCAGGCGGGCGAGACAGUCUCUCGUGAAAUCCCACGGCUCAACCGUGGAAUUGCGGGAGAUACUACUCGUCUUGAGUCCGGGAGAGGAGAGCGGAAUUCCCAGUGUAGCGGUGAAAUGCGUAGAUAUUGGGAGGAACACCAGUGGCGAAGGCGGCUCUCUGGACCGGUACUGACGCUGAGGCGCGAAAGCUAGGGGAGCAAACGGGGGAUUAGAUACCCCGGUAGUCCUAGCCGUAAACGAUGAGCACUUGGUGUAGCGGGUAUCGACCCCCUGCUGUGCCGAAGCUAACGCAUUAAGUGCUCCGCCUGGGGAUACGGUCGCAAGGCUG
rnacentral:rRNA from 1 species